CAAACUUGCUGAGUCUUAAUCUGCAUUUGGCAAGCUCUCAAAGUGAUUCCUUUGUAUGUAAAAGUCUAAGAAGCACUGGCUAGCAUCUUUCUGGUUCACAUGCACGUUAAAGCUUGAGAAGUGUUGGCCUAGGGAUCUUCGUGGAUUCCAAAUAGAAGUCAGAAUACCAAUAACCAGUAUUAAUUUCUGAUUGUAAUAUCAGCAGCUGAAGGAUCAAGGUGUUUGGAACCCAGGAAUCACAAUCAGACUUUUUCAGGCCGCAAAUGGAUUGAUAAAACAAUGGAGGUCUCUCUGAUAAGGUAACAUUUCAGCUGAGCAUGGAAGUAAGUGAAGACAUGAUCAUAGGAGUAUCUGGGGAUCGAGCAGCAAGUGCAAAGGCCCUGGGGCUGGAACACACUCAGUGUGUGUGAGAAAUGGCAAGGGGUUCAGUGUGCCUGAUGCAGAUUAAGCAAAGAGGCCAGGAGUAGGAGGUGAUAUGGAAAGAUUGUGUUGACUCUGCAGUUCAUGGUAAGGCCUUAGGAUAUUGUCAUGAGUGAAAUGGGAAGCUGUCGGAAGGUUUAGAAUGAAGGGGUCAUAUUAUCUGACUUUUGUUUUAACAGGAAUCUCUCCAGCUGAGUCUAAUUUCUGAGAGUAGACUGAAGAGGACACAGCAGGGCAGUCUAGUCAGAGGUGCCUGCAGGAAUCCCAGACGAAUGGUAGGGAAGGUAGUGAAGGAGGUGAAGAGAUGAGCUUUGAGCCUGGUCCUGUUUAGAGCAGAGCUGGCAGGACUUGCUAGGGAUGGGUGCAUGCUGUGGGAGAAAGAGAAGCUCCUGGGUUGGCUCUGUGCACCUCUGUGACUCAGCUUUCCUGGAAGGUGCUUUGCGUUUUUCCUUCAGUAUCUGACAGGCAUGGGCAGAAGAGUCUUUGUUUUUUGGGGGGCUUUUUUGUUUGUUUGUUUGUUUGUUUGUUUGGUGAUGGAAUUUCACUCUUGUCACCCAGGCUGGAGCACAGUGGCCUGAUCUCGGCUCACUGCAACCUCUGCCUCCCGGGUUCAAGUGAUUUUCAUGCCUCAGGCUCCCAAGUAGCUGGGAUUAAAGGCGCCCAACACCACUCCCAGCUAAUUUUUGUAUUUUUUAGUAGAGACGGGGUUUCACCAUGUUGGCCAGGCUGGUCUUGAACUCCUGACCUCAGGUGGUCCACUCACCUCGGACUCCCAAAGUGCUGGGAUUACAGGCGUGAACAACCAUGCCCAGCCCAGGCAGAAGAGGCUUAAACAUGGCCGGUGGUACAUGUACUUUCAUUACUUUUCUGCCCACCCCCCCUAAAAUGUCAGUAAAAGCAUGAAAACAGGGAACCUUACAGGAUGAGGAGCCCAGGACUGGGGAUUAAAUAAGAUGAAUGACAAUGUGAGUUAUGUCUGAAGAGGAAAGCAGACACAGCCAUGGGUGGGAGGUGACUUAGCAGAGGGAAGGAAGCUGGCUACCGAGUGUCUGCAGUCAGAGGUGCAGGCAGAAGACCUUGAGGAUCCACCCGAGAGGCUCCGGAAUCAGACUCCAGGCCCUCUGAAAGGGCAGCCAUAGCCAAACCUAUAACCAGCAAGCAGGAAAACAGAUGACCUCUGAGGACAACAUCACCCAGAGGACAGGCUCCAGAUGCUAACAAUGUGGGCUCCUCUGAACAUGUACUUCGCCUCUCACUGCACAGGCAAAUCCUGCCCCAGCACACCAGUUUCUGAUAAAUAUUUUAGUGUCUCACUCUUAACUAUGAAUAGAUAGCCAAGGAUCACCAGACAGGAAGCCCUCUAACACAGACAAACAGAAACUAAAGACAAGACAGAAAGGAUCUCAGAGAAAACAGGCAAUUCAGGGAGCAGAGGGAAACUUUCUGGACAAACCCACAAUUAAAACCUUCUAGGACUUAAGAGGAGCUGUAUACUUGUGAUUCAAGAUCAGGCUCCUAGCAGGAACAUUCAUAGCUCCAGGAUUAGGGGCAGGAAAGAGGACAGAGCUGAAACAAAAUUCUACAGGAGGAUUAGAAGAUAACAAUGAGAAUUUUUGCCAAAAAAAAAAUACCGCAAAAGGCCGAAGAACCAACAAUAGGAGAGGAGAGAUGAAAAGACAAGAGAAGAAAGUUGAACUCCUGACAAACAGGAAUUCCAAAAGAGAGAAAAGGAAAAAAAUAUAUAGAGAAUAAGUUAUUUUUUAAAAUGCAAGAAAAUUCCCUAGAGCUAAGUGGCAUAAAUCUCCUGAUAGAUGCUCAGGCCAAGGCAAAUCAUCAUGGAAUAUCACUGCAGCAGAGAUAAAGAGAAGGCCUUAGAAGCUUCUAGAGGAACACAGAGGCCACUUAGCAAAUAUCAGCAAUCAGGAGGCCCUUAGAAUUCUCAACAGCAACACAGGGAGCUAGAAGACAAGGGCCUUCAAAAUUCUGGAAGGGCAACAAAUUUCUAAUGUGGAAUUCUUGGCUUAUGAAACUACUGAUCAAUUUUGAAAAUGAAAUACAGGCAUUUUCAAGCACUCAAGAUCUCAAGAAACGUUUCUUGUCUGCACCCUUUCUCAGGCAGUUACUGGGCACAUGCUCGUCCAAGAUAAGAGAAAACCAAGAAAGAGGAGUCUCAGCAGCGAAACCAGUGAAGCAGAGCAGGACAGAAGGGAUUGUCAGGCUGGCAGCCAUGCAGGGGACCCAGGGAGCCAUCAGUCCAGGUGGAAGCUGGGAGACCAGGGUUUCCCGGAGGCAUUCCUCCAGGAAAAACAUGAACUGAAUUUUUUUUUUGAUAUAUAAGCUGUGCGGAAAAUAGAAUUGAGAAAGCGUUUUACAAGUAAAUUGUGGCUGUUGAAAAUUAGCCAGAGGUGCAUCGGGGAAAAUCCAAAGUAAUUAUAAGCUUGAAAACAUACACAUGUACGAGACAGAAAUGCAAUCUUAUUUCUUGAUGUGGCUCAGUGGAAAAUAUUUACAUAAUCAUAGUAUUGACUUCCUGAAGACCCAGAUAAACAACAUUGGGAAGAUGAAGAAAGAGAAGCGAAUGUUUGUUGGGGCAACAGGGUGGUAAUUUGGGGGAGUAUUAAAGAGCUGUAUUGGCUUCCUGUUGCUUCUGUAACUCAUUACCGGACAUUCAGUGGCUUAAGACAACACAACUGUGACCUUGCAGUUCUGGAGUUCAGAAGUCUGAAAUGAGUCUUCACUGUGCUAUAAUCAAAGGCGUCGGCAGGGCUGUUGUCUUUCUGGAAGCUCUGAGGAGAAUCUUCCUUGCCCUUUCCAGCUUCCAGAGGCCGCCACAUUCCUCGGCUUUGGCCCCUUCCUCUGUCUUCACAGUGAAUUGUUCCAACCUCUGCUUCCACGGCGACCUCUCUUUUUUCUGACUCCACUCUCAUCCCUCCCUUUCAUAUGGACGCUUAUGAUGAUAUUGGACCAGGCUGAAUAAUCCCUCCCUUUCAUAUGGAUCCUUAUGAUUAUAUUGGACCAGGCUGGAUAAUCCCUCCCUUUCAUGUGGACCCUUAUGAUGAUAUUGGACCAGGCUGGAUAAUCCAGGAAAAUCUCCCCAUCUCAAGAUGCUUACUUGAAUCACACCUGCAAAGUCCCUUCUGGCAUGGAAAGUGACAUGUUCACAGGAUCCCAUGUUCCCAGGAUUAGGACAUGGACAUCUUUAGUGGGGAGAAGCCAUGGUUUUGCAGAUCCCCAAGGUUAAUGUGCUCAAUGGAGGAUCAGGAUCUAGCCCUAUGAGCAUGUUAUUAACGAGCAUAGAAGUGAAUUCCCAAAAGCAUCACUAAGUGCACUGGUGGUCGUAAUCUCAUGGCUAUGAGCAGCGUGGGGUAGGCAGAGCCAGGGGCUAGUUGUUUCCAUUAUAAGCCUUGUGAUAUUUUAGACCAUGUGUAUCUAAUGCUGUGAUAAAGAGUAAAAUGUCCAGUCAGGUGCAGUGGCUCAAGCCUGUAAUCCCACCACUUUGGGAGCCCAAGGCGGGAGAACCACUUGUGUACAGGAGUUCCUGGCCAGCCUCGGCAACAUAGUUAGACCCUGUCUCUAUGAGAAAUAGAAGAUGAGCCAAGCGUGAUGGUGUGCCUAUAGUCCCACCGACUUGUGGGGCUGAGGUAGGAGAUUGCUUGAGCCCAGGUAGUUGAGACUGCAGUGAACCAUGAUUGUGCCACUGCACUCAGCCUGGGUGACAGUUAAGACCCUGUCUCAAAAAAAAAAAGAAAAAAGAAUAAAAAGAGUAAAAUGCUAUCGUUAGGCCCAACUCAUACCUAAUCAAUCAAAACGUAACUUAAAUUCUGGAGAUCUAGUGUCCUGCGUGGUGACUGCAAUGAACAAUACUGUGUUGUACACGAAAUUUGCCAAGAGGUCAGAUCUUGAGUGUUCUCAUCACAUACCAAAAAGGUAACUGUGAGGCGAUGGAUAUGUUAAUUAGCAUAAUUGUGUACAUGUAUUUCAAAUAAUCAAGUAGUACACCUUAAAUACAUACCUUUUAAUUUGUCAAUUCUGC
rnacentral:lncRNA from 10 species